ACUCAAAUAGCUUAUGUUUAGAGCGUGACACUGAAGAUGUUAAGGGAAUAUUUUUAUUUUUGAGUA
rnacentral:tRNA from 1 species